AUUGAACGCUGGCGGCAGGCCUAACACAUGCAGGUCGAGCGGAUGAAGGGAGCUUGCUCCUGGAUUCAGCGGCGGACGGGUGAGUAAUGCCUAGGAAUCUGCCUGAUAGUGGGGGAUAACGUCCGGAAACGGGCGCUAAUACCGCAUACGUCCUGAGGGAGAAAGUGGGGGAUCUUCGGACCUCACGCUAUCAGAUGAGCCUAGGUCGGAUUAGCUAGUUGGUGGGGUAAAGGCCUACCAAGGCGACGAUCCGUAACUGGUCUGAGAGGAUGAUCAGUCACACUGGAACUGAGACACGGUCCAGACUCCUACGGGAGGAAGCAGUGGGGAAUAUUGGACAAUGGGCGAAAGCCUGAUCCAGCCAUGCCGCGUGUGUGAAGAAGGUCUUCGGAUUGUAAAGCACUUUAAGUUGGGAGGAAGGGCAGUAAGUUAAUACCUUGCUGUUUUGACGUUACCAACAGAAUAAGCACCGGCUAACUUCGUG
rnacentral:rRNA from 1 species